GACGAACGCUGGCGGCGUGCUUAACACAUGCAAGUCGAACGCUGAAGGCCUGGCUUUUGUUGGGUUGGAUGAGUGGCGAACGGGUGAGUAACACGUGAGUAACCUGCCCUCUUCUUUGGGAUAACGCCCGGAAACGGGUGCUAAUACUGGAUAUUCACUGAUCUUCGCAUGGGGGUUGGUGGAAAGGUUUGUUCUGGUGGGGGAUGGGCUCGCGGCCUAUCAGCUUGUUGGUGGGGUGAUGGCCUACCAAGGCUUUGACGGGUAGCCGGCCUGAGAGGGUGACCGGUGACAUUGGGACUGAGAUACGGCCCAGACACCUACGGGAGGCAGCAGUGGGGAAUAGUGCACAAUGGGCGAAAGCCUGAUGCAGCGACGCCGCGUGAGGGAUGGAGGCCUUCGGGUUGUAAACCUCUUUCGCUCAUGGUCAAGCCGCAACUGUGGGUUGUGGUGAGGGUAGUGGGUAAAGAAGCGCCGGCUAACUACGUG
rnacentral:rRNA from 1 species